ACACCAACGUCGUCGUCGCCGUCAUUGCGUCGACAUAGAACUAUAACAGAACUGUUUCACCGAUGUCUCGAGACCAUGUAGGUAUUUCCACGGUGAGCAGUACGAGCACAGCUUCGAUUUUGUGAAACGUUCAAGGAAUACGCCUCUUGGGGAAUGGAUACGCUGCUAGUAAACACCAAUGAGCCACGAAGAUACAGGUCUCUCGCUUUCAACGUCCUCUCCGGAAGUGUCAGAGGCUACGCAGUUCUUGGUGACUUUAGCGCUGGUGUCAGAACUGCAAUUUGCCAGACACAGAAAAACAGAUGACGGGGCUAUGGUUAUCCUUUCACAGUGCGAAAAGGGACGAUAAUCUCAGCUACAUUUCCAAGUCGAGUAUAUGAGCUGAUAUGAGCGGAUACUGUAGGGGACGGACGCACUAGGAAACCUAUCUAUGAAACCGAUACCACAAUGUUCGCCGUCGGCCCACAAUCUACCUGGGUAUUUUUUUCGUUCGAAGAGUGCUCCGAUAUUAAAUGAACGAAUUUUAAAGAUCAGCAGCUGCAGAGGCUCCGGCGGUGCGACGUCACUCCCAAAUCUUAUUCUCUCUCAUUAACGAUCUUCCUUUUAUAAUUAA